GUUUAAAAUCUACUUGGUUAGAAUACAUGCUUUGAUUUAUCUACAAAUUGAUCAAAUGUACACAUAUUUUAAGCAACAUGAUUAUUAUACGUAUAUUUUUUGAGAUAUUGCUAUCAACACUAUAAAAGAUAUGAGUGAUAUCGCCUUUCUAUUUACAGAAAAUGGUUCCCAUUACAGAUAUCCUUUAAGAAAACACUGUAUAUAUUCCUCCUCUCUGGAAAAAGGCAUGGGAUUCAAUAUGGAUAUAACUGUGUUGCAAAGUAUAAUUUUACAGAGAUACAACAAAAACAAAAGCAAGAAGAGGAUCAUGUAUUGGACAUGCACAAGGCAAGUUUUCUUGUAUUCUUAUGUUAGGAAAAAUGAGCCUGUGUCAAAAUAUGUUCAUUUUUAUAUUAGAAUUUCAAGAGAAGGUGGUUUUAAUUAUAUGAGGGAGAUUAGAAUGUUUCAUUUGAGACGGAAUCAUGAAAGAGGAAAGUCUUUGUUCCACUUGUGUACAUAUCUACCCUGGAAGACGUCUCCAUGGACUACCUCUUAUUUGUUAAAGUCUUCAGCUAUGUUACCUUCAUAUUGACGUAUGACUUACGGCGAAUGAUGCUCUCCUUUAAGAAAAGCAAUGUUCAAAACAUUUUCCAAAAAACACAUUAGUCAUUGCAAAUAAAGUACAGAGAGUUGUCA
rnacentral:lncRNA from 1 species